rnacentral:rRNA from 1 species
CCCUUAGAUGUUCUGGGCCGCACGCGCGCUACACUGACGAAUGCAACGAGCUUAUAACCUUGGCCGAAAGGUCUGGGUAAUCUCCAAAUUUCGUCGUGAUGGGGAUAGAUUAUUGCAAUUAUUAAUCUUCAAUGAGGAAUGCCUAGUAAGCGCAAGUCAUCAGCUUGCGUUGAUUACGUCCCUGCCCUUUGUACACACCGCCCGUCGCUCCUACCGAUUGAAUGGUCCGGUGAAGCGUUCGGACCGUGGCCUUUGGACGGUUCGCCGUCUGUUGGCUGCGGGAAGUUCGUUAAACCUUAUCAUUUAGAGGAAGGAGAAGUCGUAACA